rnacentral:rRNA from 1 species
AGCCCCUACGGGGGGCAGCAGUGGGGAAUAUUGCGCAAUGGGCGAAAGCCUGACGCAGCGACGCCGCGUGAGGGAUGAAGGUCUUCGGAUCGUAAACCUCUGUCAGCAGGGAAGAGCGGUCACUGUGCUAAUCAGCAGUGAAUUGACGGUACCUGCAAAGGAAGCACCGGCUAACUCCGUGCCAGCAGCCGCGGUAAUACGUAGGGGGCGAGCGUUAUCCGGAUUUACUGGGUGUAAAGGGAGCGUAGACGGCUGGUCAAGGUUGAA